CAUCUAGGUCUGUGGGCCGUGACAGGUCAACUAGUGGUACAUCUAGGUCUGUUGGCCGUGACAGGUCAACUAGUGAUCUAGGUCUGUGGGCCGUGACAGGUCAACUAGUCGUAGAUAUAGGUCUGUGGGCCGUGACAGGUCAACUAGUCGUACAUCUAGGUCUGUUGGCCGUGACAGGUCAACUAGUGGUACAUCUAGGUCUGUGGGCCGUUACAGGUCAACUAGUCGUGAGUAUAGUCUUUCAUUGCUAAAUAUUACA